GUGCUGAGCGGCAAGGCACAGCCGCGGGAAGGUAAACGCAGAGCCGAGGGGCCGGCCAGCACCUGGCCCUGACCGCCCCCAGGCCACGCAUUCCUUGUUACUUCACCUCCUGGCGGAUGGCAACCGUCCCAGCUUCGUGGACUGUCAGGGUCACCGAGAGUCCAGGGUGGUGGGAGUCCCCCACACGAGCCACUGGCACACUCCCUGAAGCAGAAGCCACGGCGCCAAAGCUGUGGGCUCAGGGAACUUGCCCAUUACCUGGCAGCCCCGCAUCUGUGCCAAAAUAAGACACAACUCAGCCCAGCGGAGUGGACAGUGUCUGCGGCCAGCUCUGGGAUCCAGGGCCAGCUGAUGCUGGGAACAGCCGUCCUUGCCCUGUGCCUCUCCACACUGCGAGAGCCCCUGCAGCCCAGAGGGGCUCCACCUCCCCUGCAAUGGGGCUCAAAAGACAAUCCUUCUACGGGGCUGGCAGGACAGACGUGACAGGAACAACGAUGGCCUGCUCCUCCCGGAAGGUGGCUUCAAGAGCACUCAGGAGGUGACAGAUGCUGUCAAGACCGGCCCAGGGAAGGCACAGGGCAGGUUUCCCAGCACCCACCACGCGCCAGCGAGCACAGAGCCUUCGCCUGAACCAUCCAGGCACCGCGCCCUCCCCCUCCGCACACACAGGAGCCCAGCUGCGAUUCCCUCUGCUCCACAGGAGAUGCAGCGAGCACCAAAGAGCCUUCCUCCAGGAUUAAGCCUGAUGCAGAAGUGGUUACACUGACUACGGCAAGCCUCCUCAACGUGAAAACCCGGAGGACGAAAGCCAUUCGUGGAGACCCGCUGCUGCUGCGCGAGGCUUAAGUCUAUUUUCUCCUCAUGAUCUCAGUAUUUUCACGUCUCUAGUUUGCUCUACCCUAACAGUAAGAGCAGAACACACAUAACAUACAAAAUGUGUGUGACUGGCUUUAUGUGGUCAGGAAGGCUCUGGUCAACAGAAGGCUGUUAGUUAAGUUUGGGGAAAGUUAAAAGUUCUACACAAAUUUUCAACUGCACAGGAGGCUGGCGCCCCCAACCCCUGUAUUGUUCAAGGGUUUGCUGUAAUUUGUAUUAAAACACCAAGCCCCCUUACACCUGGGUGAGUCUCUCUCCCUGAACAGAUGUGACAACAUUACCCUCCGAAGACUCCCAGAGAGAAAGAGAACACUUCAAAUUCAGAUUUGUCUUCCACAGUAUGUUGAUAGAACAGGCCUUUACGUACGUCCUGGGCAAAUGCUCCUCUCCUUAUGUAAGUUAAUAACUCCACCAACCACUAGUUUGUGUAAUGACCAUUUAAAUAUCGAAUGGUGCCCAAGGCCCCUGAGAAGGGAUGUGAUUCAGCCCCUCCCCUCACGCAGGCACGUGGCCUCAGAGGCCCAGGAGGAGGAAGACAGGAAGUCAGCAGCAGGGUGGAAAAGGGGAGGGAAGCCCUUCAAGGGAAGCUCUCCCAGAACCUUCAAUCCCAGCUCCAAUUCCAAAGACAGGAACACACUCAUGACUGACAGGAUCAAACACCAAAGGCCUGUUUGCCUUGAGGGGGACACUGGGGAGGGUGGGGAAGGGGGAGUGAGGAGGAGCUGGAAGCAGCAGUCCUGUGUGGCACCAGGGGCUUGCUCCCACGUCGGCCCUGGGCACAGCCCCGCAUGGUGAUGAGGUGUGGCCUGCCUGCAGCACACGGCCAUGCUCCAGAUACCUUAGCUUUAUCUGAAGAGUUCUUUUGUUUGUUUGUUUGUUUGUUUGAGACAGCUGUGUUGCCCAGGCUGGAGUGCAGCGGUGUGAUCACAGCUCACUGUAGCCUCCGCCUCCUGGGCUCAAGCUAUCCGCUCACUUGAGCCUCCCAAGUAGCUGGGAGUACAGGCCCGUGGCACCAUGCCCGGCUAAUUUCUGUACUUUCUGUGGAGUCGGGUUUCGCCAUGCUUCCGAGGCUGGUGUCUGAAGGAUGCUUUACGGCAACCCCUGCCUUUUCCAGCUGAGCCCUGCCGGCUGUUGUGCGCUCCGUGGAAAGGGAGAAGCACGGUCUCCAGCGGCUGCGUCAGGAGUGGUGCCUUGUGCACACCUCACAGGGAGAGAAGUCUCCAACGGACUGAGCGGAGGAAAAAAGAAAAAAGGAGAAAAGGAAAAAGAGCUGCAUACCUGGCAGGCCUACUGUGUGCAAAGCCCUUGAGUGACACACCCUAUGACCCACAGCACUGUGGCAAUCCCAGGGCCGCACCAGCUCUCUCUCCUUCCCCUCCUCAGGGCCACACCAACUGUGGGGUUCCAGCUAUCACUCUGUGCAAAGGACUCCUAACAUGGGUGUCCUCCGUCUCACCCCAUAAGCCACACUGGCCAAGGCCAGGCAGGCACCACACAUCGCGAGACACAUGCUUGGUCACUGGGCUGUGGAACAUACAGGAGCCCCGUGCUCCGGAACACGGACCACCCGACAGGAGCACGGACACAGCAGUCGGGGCGACGUGGGUGCCUCACAGAAGAGGGAAAAAGCCAGGAGGGCGGCACGUGGGCGCAAAGUUCUCAGCUUCGUUAGUCAUCAAGAAAAUGCAAACUAAAACCAAGGUAAGUGUGAGGGUUACUACUGAGUUUCAACUUGACUGGACUAAAGGAUGUGUAACUGUUCCUGGGAGCAUCUUGAGGAAGCUGCCAAAGGAGAUUCACAUUGAGUCAGUGGACGGGGAGAGGCCGACGAACCCUCCAUCUGGGGGGGCAUGAUCUCAUCAGCUGCCAGCACGGCAGAUCUGCGGAAGCACUGGACUGGCUGAGUCUUCCAGCCUCCAUCUUUCUUCCAUGCUGGAUACUUCCUGCCCUCGAACAUCAGACUCCAAGUGCUUCAGCUUUUGGGUUCUUGGACCUACACCAGUGGUUUGCCAGGGGUUCUUGGGCCUUCGGCCACAGACUGAAAGCUGCGCUGUUGGCUUCCCGACUUUUGAGGUUUGGGGACUCGGACUGGCUUCCUGGCUCCUCAGCUUGCCAACAGCCUAUUGUGGGACUUCACCUCAUGACUGUGUGAGUCAAUACUCCCAAUAAACUCCCCUCCAUAUAUACAUUUAUCCUAUUAGUGCUGUCCCUCUAGAGAACCCUGACUCGUACACACAAGUACUGGUGAAGGGGUGGAGCAAAGGAAACUAGUCCACUCUCAUCAGGGCCAACUCACGCACCUGGCAAUCUCUACUCAUACUGAACACAAGUAUGCCCUAUAGCCCAGCAAUGCCAUUCUGGACAUACACGUCCAAAAGAAAAGCAGGUGCACAGACACAAGAGACACGCGUGAAGUGCUUCAUAGCAGUGGGGUUUGCGGCGUGCCACUAGGAUGUGAGGGUGGAACACUACACAGCAGAGGAGGCAAACACAUCACAACGUAAGUCAAUCUCACAAAUAAUGUUGAGGAACCCUGUCUCUACGAAAAGUUUAAAAAUUAGCCGGGCACUGUGGUGCAUGCUGGCGGUCUCAGCUACCAGGGAGGCUAAGGCAGGAGGAUCACUUGAGCCCAGGAGGUCGAGGCUGCGGUAAGCCAAGAUCAUGCCACUGUACUCCAGCCCGGGCGUCAGAGCCAGACCCUCUCCCCUCUCCCCUCUCCUCUCUCUCUCUCUCUCUCUCACACACACACACACACACACACACAGAGUAAUAAUGUUGGGGACAAAAUACAUGAUACAUUUACAUAAAUUUCUGAAAAUAGCAACUACAGUACUUAGGGAUGCAUACUUAGUUGACAAGACAUCCGCGAAGCGUGGAAAAUGGCUGCCUGGCGGAUGGAAUUGGAAGGGACGGUGAAACGGGUUCUAAGUGAAGGCUGCGGAGGCGUUUGCUUUGUGGUCUGCUAAGUUGUACAUUUUUACUGGGUGGACGUUUGGGUUCUCAGCUGAAGCAGUCUUUCAGAAGGUGACAGAGAUAAAGGCCACACUAUGUCCUUGCAAGGCCUCAGAGGUGUCACUGACCUUUUGCUGCAGGACCUGUUCUUCUCAGGGGUCUUGGCCUCCUAGAGGAAGGAGGGCCCCAUCGCCCUGCUAGGCCCUACUGGGACCCUCAAGGGCAUGAGCAUGACGACGGAGCAGCUUCAGGCUUCCCAGCAUGUCGGGCAGGCCUAGCCAUGCCCAAUACACACUGCAGGGCACCCACUGCAGAGUGCAACAGGGAGCUUGGAGCCUGACAAGGAGACACACAGCUCUGUGAAGACGAAGGGGAGGAGGAGCAAGGAAAAUGCUUCUUUUACACAGAAGGCGCCAAGAUACAAACUAAAUGUGAUGAAGACAAAGAAAAGCAGGCGUGUGUGUUAAAGGUACAAUUGCACAGCUAAAAAUAAUCAUGGCCGUAAGGCAGGGACGGCAGAUGGAGGGUGACUCAGCAGAUUUCCUCCAAGGCUUGCGAGGGUGGAAAUAAACACACGGAAGUGACCAGCAGAGAGAAACACGCAGGGAAGAGGAAGGUUAGAAAGGUCUGGGGUGUCACGCACCGUUGCUGGGAAUGCAGAGGAGGACGGUCUGCAGAAGGGGACGCAGCCACCGCCCCCCCCACCCCGCUGCAGAAGGUGCACACCACUCAGCAACCACCCACCCACUGCUCAAUCUACCCCCAAAUUACACAAAUAGGGCCAGGCACGGUGGCUCACCCCUGUGGUCCCAGCUACUCAGGAGGCCAAGGCAGGGGGGUCAUUUGGGCCCAAGAGUUUGAGACCCGGGCAAUGUAGGGAAACCUCAUCUUUACAAAAAUAUCAAAAAAUUAAUCAGUCGAGGUGGCACGCACCUGUAAUCCCAGCUCCUUGGGAGCCUGAGGCAGGAAGACCCCUUGGGCCCAGGAGGUCGAGGCUGCAGUGAGCUAAGAUUGCACCACUGCACUCCAACCUUGGUGACAGAGCAAGACCCUGUGUGAAAAAAACCCAAACCCCAAACCAAAAAAACACAACCGGGGCAUGAAAAAGUGCUUGGCCCAGAGCAGUGCCCCAAAGCAUCUCCUAAGAAAGGGGCUUAACACAAAGCCUGCCCGCCAGGGGCUGCUGGUGGCAUCCGGGCACAUCUGCACGUGGGGCUGACAGGACUAAGGAGGUUCCACAGACACACGACCAGGCGGAGACGCAGAGAAAAGCAGGUACAGCAAGAAGUCCACUGGGCAAUGCAGAGGUGGGGAAUGCAGAGGGGGAAUGCAGAGGUGGGGAAUGCAGAGGUGGGGAAUGCAGAGGUGGGAAAUGCAGAGGUGGGGAAUGCAGAGGUUGGAAAUGCAGAGGUGGGGAAUGCAGAGGUUGGAAAUGCAGAGGGCACCUACACUUCUGAUGACAGCGAAAUAUGUAAGGCUGGCUCAACCAUCAAUCAGUCAACGUCACCCAGCAUGCCAACAAGCUAAAGAAGAAACACCACAUAAUCACAACUGGUACAGAAAAUCAUUUGAUAAAAUUCAAAACUCACGAUAAAAAUUCCUAGGAAAACAGGAGUGUGGAGAAACAUCCUCAACACGAUAAAGGCCAACUACCAAGAACUCAAGGCUGACAUGAUCAAGAGUGACGUGCUGAGGGCUGCAGAUGGAAUGGCAUACAGGGCAGAAAGGAAGAAAUGGAAUAAAACUGUCUCUCUCUGAAGAUGGUGUAAGUGUCCAUGUCGAAAAUCACAAGGAAUCUAUCAAAAAUUCCAAGAAACUUUAUUUAAUAGAGUUCAGCAAGGACACAGAAUCCAAGAUCAACACACAAACACCUAUCCUAUUUCUGCAAUAAUCCUAUGAAAACAAGAAAUAAAGACAGUACCAUCCUAUUUCUGCAUGCUACCAAUAAUCCUAUGAAAACAAGAAAUACACAGUACCAUUCUAUUUCUACAUGCUAGCAAUAAUCAAAUAAAAACAUGAAAUAAAGACAGUACCAUUUAUAGGUGCUCCAAAUAAAAAUAAAUGCUUAGGUUCAUAUGGAACAAAACUAGAAAAACCUAUACACAUUUUAGGAAAAAACAGGAGAAAAUCUUUAGGACCUAGGGCCAAGAGUUGUCAGACAUGGCAACAAAAGCACAAUCCAUAAAAGAAAAAACUGAUAAACGACCUCGACAAAAUUAAAAACUUUUGCUCUUUGAAAGACCUAGUUUAAAGAGUGAAAAGACAAACUGCAGACAGGGAAAAAUAUCUGCAAAUCACAAGUCAGAUAGCAGGCUUGUAUGUAGAAGAAAGAAGUAUCAAACAACAAACAUUAAUUAGAAAAUAAGAGAAAACACACAGACAUUCAGAAGAGGUGCACGUGGUGAACAAGCCAUGAAGGCACUCGACAUCCUAAGCCGUUAGGGAAACACAACUUAAAGCCGCAAUGAGAUAUUACUGCACACCAAUCGGAACAGCUAAAAUACAAAAUACUCAAGGAUGCUGGAGAGGAUGUAGAAAAGCUGGAACUCUCUCGCUUGCUGUGGGAACGCAAAGUGGUGUUGCUGCUCUGGAGAACAGCAAGGCAGCCUUACGAACCUAAGUGUGCGCUUGCUGCCCCACUCAACAACUGCACCCCAGGACAUUUAUCUGAGAAAAUGGAACCUCAUGUGAACACAAAGACCUGUUUGCGAAUGUUCACAGAACUUUCACUGAUAAUAGACAAUGGGGAAAACCCUUCAACAGGUGUCCCAGCGGUGUCCUCGAAACUGGGUUUCAUUCACAUCACGGCAUCCCCUCAGCAGUAAAAGGGAUGGCUAUGGAUACACCCAAGCGUAUGGGUGAAUCUGCAGAGGCCCCUGCUGAGUGAGUGGACACACCCAGGCGUACGGGUGAAUCUGCAGAGGCCCCUGCUGAGUGAGUGGACACACCCAGGAGCACGGGCGAAAUCAGCGGAGGCCCCUGCUGAGUGAGUGGACACACCCAGGAGCACGGGCGAAAUCAGUGGAGGCCCCUGCUGAGUGAGUGGACAUACCCAGGAGCACGGGCGAAAUCAGCGGAGGCCCCUGCUGAGUGAGUGGACACACCCAGGCGCACGGGCGAAUCAGCGGAGGCCCCUGCUGAGUGAGUGGACAUACCCAGGAGCACGGGCGAAAUCAGUGGAGGCCCCUGCUGAGUGAGUGGACAUACCCAGGAGCACGGGCGAAAUCAGUGGAGGCCCCUGCUGAGUGAGUGGACAUACCCAGGAGCACGGGCGAAAUCAGUGGAGGCCCCUGCUGAGUGAGUGGACAUACCCAGGCGCACGGGCGAAUCUGCAGAGGCCCCUGGUGAGUGAGUGGACGCACCCAGGAGCACGGGCGAAUCAGCGGAGGCCCCUGCUGAGUGAGUGCACAAAGCCCACCUCUUAGGUCACUCCCUGUGGACUCUACUCCCACGGCUUCCUCCAGGACAAAACCACCAACCUCGGGGAAACAGGCGGGGACUCCGUGAGGAGGGCUCAUGUCUGUCGGUGGCUGUCGAGGAGGCUCUAGGACCAGGUAUCCAGGAUAAGACGGGGGAUCUGAAUCAAGUCUGCAGGGCGGUCACCCUGUCUUCCAAUGUCAUGUUCCCGGCCACUGGGCGAAGGUGGGGAAGGGCACAAGGGAUGCUGCUAUUUUUGCAACUUCCUGUGAGUCUAUAAUGAUUUCACAGAAAAAAGGAAAAAAAAGGGAGAAAAAACACAAGGGGUGUAAGGAGACUCCCAUGGGUGAUGAAUAGUCUAUACUUUUAGGUGAUGGUGUUUCCCCAACGGUAUACGUUUCCCAAAACCCACUGAGCUGUAAAUUUAAAAUGAGUGAAUUUUAUGUCAAUUGUAAUUCAAUAAAGCUGUUAAAAAAUUAACUAGAAACAGAAAAAAAUUUUAAUUCCCAUAGAAAGAAGGAAUAAAGUAAAAAAACAGUAUGAGGUAGGAGGUAAGCUUCCUUUCAUAAACCUUGUUUUGUGUAUUUGGCUUUGGAAUCAUGCAUUUUACAUCAUUUAAAACAUUAAAUAUAAAAUGAGACUGGGUGCAGUGAAUCCCAGCAGUCUGGGAGGCCCAGGCAGGCAGAUCACUUGAGGUCAGGAGUUCGAAACCAGCCUGGCCAACAUGGUGAAACUCUCUACUGAAAAUACAAAAAAUUAGCCGGGCAUGGUGGUGCGUGCCUGUAAUCCCAGCUACUUGGGAGGCUGAGGCACUGGGAGGCAGAGGCUGCCGUGAGCAGAGAUC
rnacentral:lncRNA from 1 species